rnacentral:lncRNA from 1 species
UUGGUGGGCAUCAGGAUGGGCAUGGUGGUGUUUGGGGUGGUGGGCAAGGGGUUGGUGGUCACCAGGAUGGGGUUGGUGGUCAUCAGGAUGGGGUUGGUGGUCAAGGAGGUUGUGGGUGUAGGAAUGGUGGGCACCAGGAUGGACAUGGUGGUCUUUGGGGUGGUGGUCAAUGGGUCAGUGGCCAUGAAGAUGAGGUUGGUGGUCACCAGGAUGGUGUUGGUGGUCACCAGGAUGGACGUGGUGGUCAGUGGAGUGGUGGUCAAGGGGUUGGUGGGCAUCAGGGUGGAGUUGGUGGGCAUCAGGAUGGGAUUGGUGGUCAAGGAGGUUGUGGGUGUAGGAAUGGUGGACACCAGGAUGGACGUGGUGGUCUUUGGGGUGGUGGUGGUGGUCAUCAGGAUGGGGUUGGUGGUCAGUGGGGUGGUGGUGGACAAAGGGUUGGUGGCCUUCAAGAUGGUGGGCGAGGGGUUGGUGGUCAAGGAGGUUGUGGGUGUAGGAAUGGUGGGCACCAGGAUGGACAUGGUGGUCACUCAGGUGUCCCCAUUGGUCACUCAGAUGUCCCUGUUGGUCACUGUGGUCACUCAGAUGUCCCUGAUGGUCACUCUGGUCACUGUGGUCAC